GGUGAACGCUAGCUACAGGCUUAACACAUGCAAGUCGAGGGGCAUCAGGAAGAAAGCUUGCUUUCUUUGCUGGCGACCGGCGCACGGGUGAGUAACACGUAUCCAACCUGCCCUUUACUCGGGGAUAGCCUUUCGAAAGAAAGAUUAAUACCCGAUGGGAUAAUUAUUCCGCAUGGUUUCAUUAUUAAAGGAUUCCGGUAAAGGAUGGGGAUGCGUUCCAUUAGGUUGUUGGUGAGGUAACGGCUCACCAAGCCUUCGAUGGAUAGGGGUUCUGAGGAGGAAGGUCCCCCACAUUGGAACUGAGACACGGUCCAAACUCCUACGGGAGGCAGCAGUGAGGAAUAUUGGUCAAUGGGCGCUAGCCUGAACCAGCCAAAGUAGCGUGAAAGGGAUGAAGGCUCUAUGGGUCGUAAACUUCUUUUAUAUAAGAAUAAAAGUAGCAGUAUGUAUACUGUUUUGUAUGUAUUAUAUG
rnacentral:rRNA from 1 species